rnacentral:lncRNA from 1 species
CUCAUCGCUUGCCGUUGGCAUCAUAUCGUUACAAGGUUAUGGCAGAUGUGGCUUGGAAACUGCUACACGAAAAAUUUCUGCGGAUGAGCGAUCAAACCAUCUUCUCAGGUCUUUCAUCCACUAAUUCUGGCGUCUUCCUACUGAUCUUUUGUCCUGUACUUUACCUUCCAAUAUGAUUUGAAGUAAUUCAUAUCUUUCACCCGUCAACACAUGGCUUAAGUAUUGUAUUUUUCUUUCUUUGAAUGUACUUAGUAUUUCUUUUUGUUUGUUCAUACGCCGAAAUACCUCAUUGUUAGAAACUUUUUGUACCCAUGGAAUUAUCAGCUUCCGUCUGUAUAUGUACACAUCUCAAAAGCAUCUAUUCUUUUUUCUGUUUCAGUGUCCAUCGUCCAAAUUUCAUAGCCAUACAGCAAGACAGAAAGCACGUAACACCUGAUCAUUCGGAUUGCGAGCUCCAGACUAUGGUCCGAUCUUGUAGAAAAUGGCUCAUGAGUGUUUUCCUCGCUAGUUCGAUUCUUGAGAUGCUACGUUGAUAUGCUAUUUAGAUUCUUUAUUUUUUGGUUACACGGGCUAUUGAUAUUUGCUCUCAAACAUUUUAUGGACGGUACCUGCUCUAUUAUUUGUCCCUUAGCAUACAAAUGUACGUUUAUUGGUGUCUUUGAUAAUGGAUCCAUUUAGAUCCAAACAUUUCGCUAUGAAGAACUAUCGCAGUUAUUAUAUUUUGUAGUUCUUGUGCUUUGCUUGCUAUUAGGACGGUAUUAUCGGCGUACCUGAUGUUGUCUUGAUGCUGGUUCCGUUAAUCUUGAUUCCAACUUGGACCUCGUCCAAUGCUUCUCUGAAUAUAGAGUACAGAUUAUAUAAUAGCGGCGAUAAGACGCAACCCUGUCGCACUCCUCGUCUGAUUUGUAUGAUAUUGUGUGCUCUAUUUCAAUUGUUGCUGUUUGAUGUCAAUAGUUCUGAGAUAAGAUAUUUACAGGUCUUGUUCGCCAAUUCCAGUUAUUCUUAGAAUUUCGAUCAUCUUUUGAUGGUUAACGCAGUCAAAUAAAUGCUUUUCGAUAAUCAAUAAAGCUAUGUUUUUGGUUACGGUAAGUAUUUUUUAGGUUUUUUUGGGUCAUUUUAAACCAAAAAAAAAA